rnacentral:rRNA from 1 species
AACAAACGCUGGCGGCGUGCCUAAUACAUGCAAGUCGAACGGGGAAAGCUUUCGGGUGAGUACUAGUGGCGCACGGGUGAGUAACGCGUGGAUAAUCUGCCUUAGAGUGGGGGAUAACUAGUCGAAAGAUUAGCUAAUACCGCAUAAGACCACAAGAACUGCGGUUCAAGGGGUCAAAGGUUUUUCGCUCUAAGAUGAGUCCGCGUAAGAUUAGCUAGUUGGUAGGGUAACGGCCUACCAAGGCGACGAUCUUUAACUGGUCUGACAGGAUGAUCAGUCACACUGGAACUGAGACACGGUCCAGACUCCUACGGGAGGCAGCGGUAGGGAAUAUUGCACAAUGGAGGAAACUCUGAUGCAGCGACGCCGCGUGAGUGAUGAAGGCCUUCGGGUCGUAAAGCUCUGUCGCAGGGGAAUAACACAAUGAAGGUACCCUGUAAGAAAGGAUCGGCUAACUUCGUGCCAGCAGCCGCAGUAACAC